GAUGAACGCUGGCGGCGUGCCUAAUACAUGCAAGUCGAGCGAACAGACGAGGAGCUUGCUCCUCUGACGUUAGCGGCGGACGGGUGAGUAACACGUGGAUAACCUACCUAUAAGACUGGGAUAACUUCGGGAAACCGGAGCUAAUACCGGAUAAUAUAUUGAACCGCAUGGUUCAAUAGUGAAAGACGGUUUUGCUGUCACUUAUAGAUGGAUCCGCGCCGCAUUAGCUAGUUGGUAAGGUAACGGCUUACCAAGGCAACGAUGCGUAGCCGACCUGAGAGGGUGAUCGGCCACACUGGAACUGAGACACGGUCCAGACUCCUACGGGAGGCAGCAGUAGGGAAUCUUCCGCAAUGGGCGAAAGCCUGACGGAGCAACGCCGCGUGAGUGAUGAAGGUCGUCGGAUCGUAAAACUCUGUUAUUAGGGAAGAACAAAUGUGUAAGUAACUAUGCACGUCUUGACGGUACCUAAUCAGAAAGCCACGGCUAACUACGUGC
rnacentral:rRNA from 1 species